UUUAGAAAAAGGCAAACCUGUUGAAAGGCAGGGACGCAAAGCUAUGGGUCUAAGGGAUUAUCCUACGAUUGCCAGGUUGCCGGA
rnacentral:ncRNA from 2 species